AACGAACGCUGGCGGCAGGCUUAACACAUGCAAGUCGAGCGCCCCGCAAGGGGAGCGGCAGACGGGUGAGUAACGCGUGGGAACGUACCCUUUUCUACGGAAUAACGCAUGGAAACGUGUGCUAAUACCGUAUGUGCCCUUCGGGGGAAAGAUUUAUCGGAAAAGGAUCGGCCCGCGUUGGAUUAGCCAGUUGGUGGGGUAACGGCCUACCAAGGCGACGAUCCGUAGCUGAUCUUAGAGGAUGAUCAGCCACACUGGGACUGAGACACGGCCCAGACUCCUACGGGAGGCAGCAGUGGGGAAUCUUGGACAAUGGGCGCAAGCCUGAUCCAGCCAUGCCGCGUGAGUGAUGAAGGCCUUAGGGUUGUAAAGCUCUUUCACCGAUGAAGAUAAUGACGGUAGUCGGAGAAGAAGCCCCGGCUAACUUCGUGCCAGCCGCCGCGGUAAGAC
rnacentral:rRNA from 1 species